rnacentral:tRNA from 1 species
AGUUAAUGAACUUGAAAUAAGUAAAUGUUUUGAAAACAUUAUAUAAAGGUUUUAAUCCUUUAUUAACUU